rnacentral:rRNA from 1 species
GGUUAAGCGACUAAGCGUACACGGUGGAUGCCCUGGCAGUCAGAGGCGAUGAAGGACGUGCUAAUCUGCGAUAAGCGUCGGUAAGGUGAUAUGAACCGUUAUAACCGGCGAUUUCCGAAUGGGGAAACCCAGUGUGAUUCGUCACACUAUCAUUAACUGAAUCCAUAGGUUAAUGAGGCGAACCGGGGGAACUGAAACAUCUAAGUACCCCGAGGAAAAGAAAUCAACCGAGAUUCCCCCAGUAGCGGCGAGCGAACGGGGAGGAGCCCAGAGCCUGAAUCAGUGUGUGUGUUAGUGGAAGCGUCUGGAAAGGCGCGCGAUACAGGGUGACAGCCCCGUACACAAAAAUGCACAUACUGUGAGCUCGAUGAGUAGGGCGGGACACGUGGUAUCCUGUCUGAAUAUGGGGGGACCAUCCUCCAAGGCUAAAUACUCCUGACUGACCGAUAGUGAACCAGUACCGUGAGGGAAAGGCGAAAAGAACCCCGGCGAGGGGAGUGAAAAAGAACCUGAAACCGUGUACGUACAAGCAGUGGGAGCCUCUUUAUGGGGUGACUGCGUACCUUUUGUAUAAUGGGUCAGCGACUUAUAUUCUGUAGCAAGGUUAACCGAAUAGGGGAGCCGAAGGGAAACCGAGUCUUAACUGGGCGUUAAGUUGCAGGGUAUAGACCCGAAACCCGGUGAUCUAGCCAUGGGCAGGUUGAAGGUUGGGUAACACUAACUGGAGGACCGAACCGACUAAUGUUGAAAAAUUAGCGGAUGACUUGUGGCUGGGGGUGAAAGGCCAAUCAAACCGGGAGAUAGCUGGUUCUCCCCGAAAGCUAUUUAGGUAGCGCCUCGUGAAUUCAUCUCCGGGGGUAGAGCACUGUUUCGGCAAGGGGGUCAUCCCGACUUACCAACCCGAUGCAAACUGCGAAUACCGGAGAAUGUUAUCACGGGAGACACACGGCGGGUGCUAACGUCCGUCGUGAAGAGGGAAACAACCCAGACCGCCAGCUAAGGUCCCAAAGUCAUGGUUAAGUGGGAAACGAUGUGGGAAGGCCCAGACAGCCAGGAUGUUGGCUUAGAAGCAGCCAUCAUUUAAAGAAAGCGUAAUAGCUCACUGGUCGAGUCGGCCUGCGCGGAAGAUGUAACGGGGCUAAACCAUGCACCGAAGCUGCGGCAGCGACACUAUGUGUUGUUGGGUAGGGGAGCGUUCUGUAAGCCUGUGAAGGUGUACUGUGAGGUAUGCUGGAGGUAUCAGAAGUGCGAAUGCUGACAUAAGUAACGAUAAAGCGGGUGAAAAGCCCGCUCGCCGGAAGACCAAGGGUUCCUGUCCAACGUUAAUCGGGGCAGGGUGAGUCGACCCCUAAGGCGAGGCCGAAAGGCGUAGUCGAUGGGAAACAGGUUAAUAUUCCUGUACUUGGUGUUACUGCGAAGGGGGGACGGAGAAGGCUAUGUUGGCCGGGCGACGGUUGUCCCGGUUUAAGCGUGUAGGCUGAUUUUCCAGGCAAAUCCGGAAAAUCAAGGCUGAGGCGUGAUGACGAGGCACUACGGUGCUGAAGCAACAAAUGCCCUGCUUCCAGGAAAAGCCUCUAAGCAUCAGGUAACAUCAAAUCGUACCCCAAACCGACACAGGUGGUCAGGUAGAGAAUACCAAGGCGCUUGAGAGAACUCGGGUGAAGGAACUAGGCAAAAUGGUGCCGUAACUUCGGGAGAAGGCACGCUGAUAUGUAGGUGAAGCGACUUGCUCGUGGAGCUGAAAUCAGUCGAAGAUACCAGCUGGCUGCAACUGUUUAUUAAAAACACAGCACUGUGCAAACACGAAAGUGGACGUAUACGGUGUGACGCCUGCCCGGUGCCGGAAGGUUAAUUGAUGGGGUUAGCGGUAACGCGAAGCUCUUGAUCGAAGCCCCGGUAAACGGCGGCCGUAACUAUAACGGUCCUAAGGUAGCGAAAUUCCUUGUCGGGUAAGUUCCGACCUGCACGAAUGGCGUAAUGAUGGCCAGGCUGUCUCCACCCGAGACUCAGUGAAAUUGAACUCGCUGUGAAGAUGCAGUGUACCCGCGGCAAGACGGAAAGACCCCGUGAACCUUUACUAUAGCUUGACACUGAACAUUGAGCCUUGAUGUGUAGGAUAGGUGGGAGGCUUUGAAGUGUGGACGCCAGUCUGCAUGGAGCCGACCUUGAAAUACCACCCUUUAAUGUUUGAUGUUCUAACGUUGGCCCCUGAUCGGGGUUGCGGACAGUGUCUGGUGGGUAGUUUGACUGGGGCGGUCUCCUCCUAAAGAGUAACGGAGGAGCACGAAGGUUGGCUAAUCCUGGUCGGACAUCAGGAGGUUAGUGCAAUGGCAUAAGCCAGCUUGACUGCGAGCGUGACGGCGCGAGCAGGUGCGAAAGCAGGUCAUAGUGAUCCGGUGGUUCUGAAUGGAAGGGCCAUCGCUCAACGGAUAAAAGGUACUCCGGGGAUAACAGGCUGAUACCGCCCAAGAGUUCAUAUCGACGGCGGUGUUUGGCACCUCGAUGUCGGCUCAUCACAUCCUGGGGCUGAAGUAGGUCCCAAGGGUAUGGCUGUUCGCCAUUUAAAGUGGUACGCGAGCUGGGUUUAGAACGUCGUGAGACAGUUCGGUCCCUAUCUGCCGUGGGCGCUGGAGAACUGAGGGGGGCUGCUCCUAGUACGAGAGGACCGGAGUGGACGCAUCACUGGUGUUCGGGUUGUCAUGCCAAUGGCACUGCCCGGUAGCUAAAUGCGGAAGAGAUAAGUGCUGAAAGCAUCUAAGCACGAAACUUGCCCCGAGAUGAGUUCUCCCUGACUCCUUGAGAGUCCUGAAGGAACGUUGAAGACGACGACGUUGAUAGGCCGGGUGUGUAAGCGCAGCGAUGCGUUGAGCUAACCGGUACUAAUGAACCGUGAGGCUUAACCUU